rnacentral:piRNA from 1 species
UGGCCACCCUCAUAACUAAGCUAGGUUC